rnacentral:snRNA from 1 species
AUCUAGAAAUGUUUUCAUCAUUU